rnacentral:rRNA from 1 species
ACGAGCGCAACCCUUGUCCUUAGUUACCAGCACGUUAUGGUGGGCACUCUGAGGAGACUGCCGGUGACAAACCGGAGGAAGGUGGGGAUGACGUCAAGUCAUCAUGGCCCUUACGGCCUGGGCUACACACGUGCUACAAUGGUCGGUACAAAGGGUUGCCAAGCCGCGAGGUGGAGCUAAUCCCAUAAAACCGAUCGUAGUCCGGAUCGCAGUCUGCAACUCGACUGCGUGAAGUCGGAAUCGCUAGUAAUCGUGAAUCAGAAUGUCACGGUGAAUACGUUCCCGGGCCUU